AACGAACGCUGGCGGCAUGCCUAACACAUGCAAGUCGAACGAGACCUUCGGGUCUAGUGGCGCACGGGUGCGUAACGCGUGGGAACCUGCCCUUAGGUUCGGAAUAACUCCCCGAAAGGGGUGCUAAUACCGGAUAAUGUCUUCGGACCAAAGAUUUAUCGCCUUUGGAUGGGCCCGCGUUGGAUUAGCUAGUUGGUAGGGUAAAAGCCUACCAAGGCGACGAUCCAUAGCUGGUCUGAGAGGAUGAUCAGCCACACUGGGACUGAGACACGGCCCAGACUCCUACGGGAGGCAGCAGUGGGGAAUAUUGGACAAUGGGCGAAAGACUGAUCCAGCAAUGCCGGGUGAGUGAUGAAGGCCUUAGGGUUGUAAAGCUCUUUUAACCGGGAUGAUAAUGACAGUACCGGGAGAAUAAGCUCCGGCUAACUACGUG
rnacentral:rRNA from 1 species